AGUGAACGCUGGCGGUAGGCCUAACACAUGCAAGUCGAACGGCAGCACAGUAAGAGCUUGCUCUUACGGGUGGCGAGUGGCGGACGGGUGAGGAAUACAUCGGAAUCUACUUUUUCGUGGGGGAUGACGUAGGGAAACUUACGCUAAUACCGCAUACGACCUACGGGUGAAAGCAGGGGAUCUUCGGACCUUGCGCGAUUGAAUGAGCCGAUGUCGGAUUAGCUAGUUGGCGGGGUAAAGGCCCACCAAGGCGACGAUCCGUAGCUGGUCUGAGAGGAUGAUCAGCCACACUGGAACUGAGACACGGUCCAGACUCCUACGGGAGGCAGCAGUGGGGAAUAUUGGACAAUGGGCGCAAGCCUGAUCCAGCCAUACCGCGUGGGUGAAGAAGGCCUUCGGGUUGUAAAGCCCUUUUGUUGGGAAAGAAAAGCAGCAGGUUAAUACCCCGCUGUUCUGGCGGUACCCAAAGAAUAAGCACCGGCUAACUUCGUG
rnacentral:rRNA from 1 species